UGCCAGACUCCUACGGGAGGCAGCAGUGGGGAAUAUUGCACAAUGGGGGAAACCCUGAUGCAGCAACGCCGCGUGAGUGAAGAAGUAUUUCGGUAUGUAAAGCUCUAUCAGCAGGGAAGAAAAUGACGGUACCUGAGUAAGAAGCCCCGGCUAACUACGUGCCAGCAGCCGCGGUAAUACGUAGGGGGCAAGCGUUAUCCGGAUUUACUGGGUGUAAAGGGAGCGUAGACGGCGAUACAAGUCUGAAGUGAAAGCCCGGGGCUCAACCCCGGGACUGCUUUGGAAACUGUGUUGCUGGAGUGCUGGAGAGGCAAGCGGAAUUCCUAGUGUAGCGGUGAAAUGCGUAGAUAUUAGGAGGAACACCAGUGGCGAAGGCGGCCUGCUGGACGGUGACUGACGCUGAGGCUCGAAAGCGUGGGGAGCGAACAGGAUUAGAUACCCUAGUA
rnacentral:rRNA from 1 species